rnacentral:rRNA from 1 species
UGCAGUCGACGCACCUUCGGGUUGAGUGGCGGACGGGUGAGUAACGCGUGAGAAUCUGCCUUGGGGUCGGGGACAACCACUGGAAACGGUGGCUAAUACCGGAUAAGCCGAUUGGUAAAAGAUUUAUUGCCCGAAGAGGAGCUCGCGUCUGAUUAGCUAGUUGGUGAGGUAAGAGCUCACCAAGGCAGCGAUCAGUAGCUGGUCUGAGAGGAUGAUCAGCCACACUGGAACUGACACACGGUCCAGACUCCUACGGGAGGCAGCAGUGAGGAAUUUUGCGCAAUGGGGGAAACCCUGACGCAGCAACGCCGCGUGAGUGAUGAAGGCUUUCGGGUCGUAAAGCUCUGUCAAGUGGGAAGAACAAGCUUGAUGUUAAUACCAUCAUGAACUGACGGUACCACUGAAGGAAGCACCGGCUAACUCCGUGCCAGCAGCCGCGGUAAUA